rnacentral:rRNA from 1 species
GUGAGGAAUAUUGCGCAAUGGGGGAAACCCUGACGCAGCGACGCCGCGUGGGUGAUGAAGGCCUUCGGGUUGUAAAGCCCUGUUGGAGGGGAAGAAAGGGCGUGUAGCUAAUAUCUGCACGCAUUGACGGUACCCUCUGAGGAAGCACCGGCUAACUCCGUGCCAGCAGCCGCGGUAAUACGGAGGGUGCGAGUGUUAUUCGGAAUUACUGGGCGUAAAGAGCACGUAGGCGGAUAGGAAAGUCAGAUGUGAAAGCCCGGAGCUUAACUCCGGAACUGCAUUUGAUACUGCCUGUCUUGAGUGUGGUAGAGGGGGGUGGAAUUCCCGGUGUAGAGGUGAAAUUCGUAGAUAUCGGGAGGAACACCAGAGGCGAAGGCGACCCCCUGGGCCAUAACUGACGCUGAGGUGCGAAAGCGUGGGGAGCAAACAGGAUUAGAAACCCCGGUAGUCC